rnacentral:rRNA from 1 species
GACGAACGCUGGCGGCGUGCUUAACACAUGCAAGUCGAGCGGAAAGGCCCUUUCGGGGGUACUCGAGCGGCGAACGGGUGAGUAACACGUGAGUAAUCUGCCCUUCACUUGGGGAUAACUACCGGAAACGGUGGCUAAUACCCGAUAUGACCAAUCACUGCAUGGUGUGUUGGUGGAAAGUUUUUUCGGUGGAGGAUGUGCUCGCGGCCUAUCAGCUUGUUGGUGGGGUAAUGGCCUCCCAAGGCUUCGACGGGUAGCCGGCCUGGGAGGGUGACCGGCCACACGGGGACUGAGACACGGCCUAGACUCCUACGGGAGGCAGCAGUGGGGAAUAUUGGACAAUAGGCGAAAGCCUGAUCCAGCAACGCCGCGUGAGGGAUGACGGCCUUCGGGUUGUAAACCUCUUUCAGCGGGGACGAAGCGCCGGUAAUGGUGGUGACGGUACCCGCAGAAGAAGCACCGGCCAACUACGUGCCAGCCGCCGCCGUAA